UCUAGCCUAUUAAUAGUUCGCCGAUACCCGUCUUCGUCGGCGCUUCAAACUUCUUAGAGGGACAAGUGGCGUUCAGCCACGCGAGAUUGAGCAAUAACAGGUCUGUGAUGCCCUUAGAUGUUCGGGGCCGCACGCGCGCUACACUGAAGGACUCAGCGUGUCUGUUCUCCUGGCCAGAAAUGGUCGGGCAACCCGUUGAACCUCCUUCGUGCUAGGGAUUGGGGCUUGCAAUUCUUCCCCAUGAACGAGGAAUUCCCAGUAAGCGCGAGUCAUCAGCUCGCGUUGAUUACGUCCCUGCCCUUUGUA
rnacentral:rRNA from 1 species